rnacentral:rRNA from 1 species
AUACGGAGGAUCCGAGCGUUAUCCGGAUUUAUUGGGUUUAAAGGGUGCGCAGGCGGGAGAUUAAGUCGGCGGUGAAAUUUUGCAGCUCAACUGUAAAAGUGCCUUCGAUACUGGUUUCCUUGAGUGCGGGUGAAGUAGGCGGAACUUGUUGUGUAGCGGUGAAAUGCUUAGAUAUCACGAGGAACUCCGAUUGCGCGGGCAGCUUUCUAAACCACGACUGUCACGCAGGCACGAAGGCGUGGCGAUCAAACAGGAUUAGAUACCCUGGUAGUCCUCGCAGUAAACGAUGAUUACUGGCUGUUUGCGAUACAAUGUAAGCGGCUUAGCGACAGCGUUAAGUAAUCCACCUGGGGAGUAAGGUCGCAAGAAUGAAACUCAAAUGAAUUGACGGGG